rnacentral:rRNA from 1 species
UACAGAGGCCUCGAGCGUUGUUCGGAUUCAUUGGGCGUAAAGGGUGCGUAGGUGGCGAGGCAAGUCUGGUGUGAAAUCCUAGGGCUCAACCCUGGAACUGCACUGGAUACUACUUUGCUUGAGUACUGGAGAGGAGAUUGGAAUUUACGGUGUAGCAGUGAAAUGCGUAGAUAUCGUAAGGAAGACCAGUGGCGAAGGCGAAUCUCUGGACAGUUACUGACACUGAGGCACGAAGGCCAGGGGAGCAAAC